AUUGCAUCUUUUCCUUAUUUUUGAGUGGAGUGAAAGAAGAGACUUUAGUUUUAAUUUUUUUGUUAGAGCAUUUACCUUAAACAUUUUAGGAUAUAACUCUUUGGAUAGACGUAUUUCCCAGACUAUUUUGAUUUGAUGUAGAAUUGAGAUAUAAAUAAUACUUUUGUAGUAUACAUAUACAAGAGGGCAUAUUAAAGCUUUAAAUGUUUAUUUACUAUACAAAUAUACUUUGAAUGGCUGGCUACCAUCACAUUAAAUUUUGUAACCAUUAUAGAAUAAUCUGUCCAGUAUUUAACUUUUAAGUUGUCUUUGUCCAGAUAAAUAUCUUGCCAUUUGACUUUUGUAAUGGAAAAAUUCUGUAAUUAUGCAGUGUUUUAAUUAGAAUCAGAAAGCCAAAUGAUUGCCUCAUUGGAUAAUCUUAAGUGUUAUGCUGCAAUUCAAUCUAGACACCAAAGUGCUUAACUAGGUUUAAAAAUAACUUGUAUAUUUAACAGCUGUUAGUGAGGAGUAUGUGUAUGACUCUUCAUUCCUCCCUGGAUGGGAGAAGGAAAAGAAGCUGUUCAAAAAGUACUUCCCUCUCCCCAUCCGCUAGUGUUGCUGGGCUUGCCUUAGAAAGCAGAGAUGAAAUCCAAGGAAGGUUUGAGACAGCACCUCCGUGCAAAGAAACCAGCAUGUGCCUGAAACUUCGAGUCUUCAGGCAUUUCUUAGAAUAGCCCUGUUUUGACAUAGGUGAAGGUCUGGUGUCCGGAUUGAUAGAAUUUCUGCUGUGUUCAGUCCCAGCUAAGCAGGUAUCUUUUGAAGUUUUAGUGUGGCUGUAGGCCCCAAGUUGUGGUGCAGAAAUGUGAAGAAAUCUGGGGGUGGAGGGAGGCAUCUGGGGGUAAUUAAGUGCAUUUCAGUCCUAAAUAGAUUGUAGAUCAUUUUUUAGGCACAUCCUUUUCAGUCCUCUGGUAGAGGUUUAACAUUUCCUGCCAUGGCUCCAUGGCUCCUCAGAGGAAAGGAUUUCUGUGCUGGAACAUAAUGAUGAGCCCCCUCUCUCUCUCACACAUGAGACAGACCGACUUAUUGCCUGUUGCAUUGAUGCUGGUUCUAAGACAAGUAAGAGGAGGCUUCUUAGACCCUUUUCCAAUGUAUGGCAAGCUCAACAAAAUGUACUUCUUAUUUUACCUCUUUUUAAAACAAAGAUGCCAAGUUUGCAUGUUAGACAAGAACUUGUAACAGAUUAAAAGGUAGAUGUAGAGUAGUGCAGAUUGGUGAGCGGUUGGGAGACCUGUAGUUGUACUGCCUAGGUUGUUUCAGCAUUUGCCCUUUGAACCAUCACACAAAUGACUGGGAGAAAGUGAAGGAAGAUCUCAUUUUGUGACUGAAAGGGGAAAGUGUAUUUGUUUAAUACUUCUGUUUCUGCUUCUUUGGCUGACAUCCAAAUGUCUCCCCUGCUGUGAUAACUUUUCUUUGUAUGUAUAGAACUGAGAUUUGCUAGACUGGUGCUCUAUCACUUGAAGCACACCAGUUGUUUCUAAUCUUAUUUUAGUAUUUGCUAUAUCAAACUAAGAAGACCCCCCAUUUGACAGAUGCAAAGUGAGGGGCAGUUUUGAAUCACUACCUUUGGGCGGACAAUCUUGAGCUGAGCUGUUGCUUGAGUACAUUUUGUAGAACUUUUGGUAUCUUUAUGCAGUUAUCAAAGUUGAAUUUUUUUCUUUCUUCCAGUACAGGGUUUGAAUCCAGGGGGUCUCACACUUGUUUGG